GUCCUGCAUUCCACACUCCACACAAACAUCUGAAUAUGGGCCAGUAGACCUACUAGAACACAUAGGUUUAUUAACAUAAUUCACCAGUCUACACCCGAGACAGAUGCAGUUAUAACUUAAAACUGAAGCUAUUUGAGUUUUAAAAUGAUAAUGCCUAUCCUAUACAUGCCAGCGGUGUAAAAAUGUCUGCAGAAAAAAAUAACAAAACAUUCGACAAAGCUCGAGUUAAAAUGUUUUGUCAUUCAUUGUUUUUAAAGCUUUCAUCUUCCGCUAAUAUUUAGAGACAGACGGAUAAAUAUAAAAUAACGAAUAAAACUAUUUAGUUGCCCGGGUACAGUUACAGGCCUGUUCCACUCUGUGAGAGUGCAGGCGCAGAUCUCCGAUUCCUCUGACCAAUUUUCAACCUGUAUCAGACGUUAUGAUUUCGAUCAGAUGUGUCGGUUGAUAAGCCAACGUUGAAUCGAUGUUUCAUUUUCGACGUAAUAACGUUCUGAUGUACCGACCAAAUAAUGAACGUUGAUUCAACAUCAAAAUUUGAUUGACGAUCGAUACUGACCGUUACAACCAAAAAUCGACGUUGAUUCUAUGUCAGUUUGCUAUCUGGGUAGGUACAGUAGAUUCCUAUUCUUUGUUAACAUUGCAGCAUCAUAACACUAUAAAAUUGAUUAUUGCCACAUGAGAAUCAGUCCACAGUAAAAUCAGCAGUGUAAUAUUUGCAGUGUUAAAAGUUAUUAAUUCCCAGAGAGUUGAAUUAACAAUCUACAGUGUUAAACAGUACUGGUGUUCAGUGUCGUCACACGGUGUAAUAUUUAUGUACUUUCACUUUUACACUGAAAGUGUAAAAAAAAAAAAAAAACCCCGCCAAAUUUAACUGACUCCGCCCUUCAAGGACGGCUGCCUCGCAAAGCGACGACGCCAUUUUAUCUUCAGGCGACGGAGACGGUAAGUUGGAUUGCUUUUCUCUUUAUAAAUUUACAUGGGAGAAAUACUUUUUGUUGAUAAUGUUACUUGAUGGGUGGUGAACACAUUUAGAAAUUACUAACUGCAAGUUUUUUUGUCAGGUUUACAGUGUUAAGUUCGUGAGGUGUAGAGAUGCAACGUUAGCCUGUGUGAAAGUUUCUAAUGCGGGUUCGAUUUCCUGAAAUAAGAUCCUCUCUCCUUCAUUCCCGCCGAGGCCUGGUUUUACUACGAGUCUGAAGCAGCCACAUUUGGGCGGUUUUCUACUCCGAGGAGAGAAUUCAUCAAAUGAAUUGGCCCAGACUUCUGCAGUGUCAAGUGAAGGAAGCUUCUAUCAUGAGAUUGCAAACUGAUCUGCAAGUCUGAUGACGCUGAGCGAGAGUGAUGGAGUGAGCAAAAUGAUGAAGAUGAAGCCAGAAUUAAGCCAAGUUCCUGGCUUUUCCCAAGACCUUCAAGGACACGAUUGACCUCGGAAUCAGCUGUAAAGGAGGAUGAAACCGAUGUUUAAGAAUGGGACAGCGAUAUUGCAUCAAUUUGUCUCCUUCAUUUGAUUCCACCAUCGCCACAAGGCUGCAAGGGACCUGGAGAAAUGUCAACGACUGUCAACAAGUAUCUUGCUGUAGUCUUUUCAAAUCUACCUGUCAUAUUUGUUAAUGUCUAGGUAAAUUUGAUGAUUUUAUGUGUUUUAUUAACUGUUAUGUUUCCGUGCAACACUUAAUGAAUGUGACUGACUAAUUAACCUCUACACAUCUGGUAUAUGCUUUAAAGUUGCCACUUUGCCCAUUUGUUAAAUAAACG